UACGUAGGGUGCGAGCGUUAAUCGGAAUUACUGGGCGUAAAGUGUGCGCAGGCGGCCGCGCAAGUCGAGUGUGAAAGCCCCGAGCUUAACUUGGGAAUUGCGCUCGAAACUACGUGGCUGGAGUGUGGCAGAGGAAGGUGGAAUUCCAGGUGUAGCGGUGAAAUGCGUAGAGAUCUGGAGGAACUCCGAUUGCGAAGGCAGCCUACUGGAGGUUUACCGACGCUCAGGCACGAAAGCGUGGGGAUCAAACAGG
rnacentral:rRNA from 1 species